AAAAAAAACGCCCCCAACAACGGUAACGACUUGUGUGAGGUUGUACGUUACCCUUACCUCGCUGUUUAUUGUUUUUUUUUUUUUUCCUCCUUUUACUGGGUUUCUUGUUUGAGUUUAUUAUUAGCCGUAGAGUCUCUCGUGUUUCAGCGCAUAUCUUGUUCCAUGCACACAAGAAACUUGGGGUGUAGGGGAAACAACUGGAACGUUCCAUCUCAUUAUCGAAUAUCGAUAAUGAGUUUGAAAUUCGGUAUAGCAUCGCCCAAACGGCUAGUUGGCUAAAGCAGUUUCGUAUCACAUAAGUCUCAAGAAAUUCCGAAAAAGAAAGCCAGUCCUUCUUGAAACGGCCCUCGGAGAGUACAUAAGUACAUUUAAUGGACCUACGUACAGAUGGGGAGAAUCUUUUGCUGACGUCAAAGACAUGACGAUCUCAAGUUUUCCCCUUUUUGCAGUCGACUACAAGCCCCCCCUUCCCCUGUUUUUUAUUUUUUUUGUUUUGUUUUGCCACCUCCACAUCGCGACGGCGACGCCCUGGUGGAAACGACGUCACCAGUUGUCUCAUUCCCAUUGGUAUUUUUUCUUCUUCAUUUUCUCCAGAAGAAAAGAACAGCUUUUGCACGGUCUCUAUCGAGUCGUGUGCGUGCGCUUUUAUUGCCUUACGUAUUCUAUCACAUCGAUGCAUAGUGGCAGUGUGUGACGAUAGACGAUGACGUCAAUAGGAAUUGUUAAAUAUGCGGGUGAACAGCCAGAAUAAUAAUAUGCCAGUUCCCUUAUUCAACGUUUUUUUUUUGUUUCUUGUUUUGUUUCCACCGUAUAGAACAAUGGAGAAAGAUGUGACGGAUCGGGGACCCAUCCGCGUUUAAAAAAAAAAAAUAUCCAGCUGCAUAUCAUUUAAGCUUAAAGUAUAUCCAUUUCUCAACAACACAGGCAGAGAUCUAAUAAGAGGAUAACAAAAAAAAAUAAAACGGCACCUGCACCACUCGCUUUCCUAUUUAGUCGUCUAUAUCUUCCCCGCACAGUGGCAAUCUCCGUUCCGAGUGAUCCAGCGGAUCAAGUGCGACAGCGUUAGUCUAGCACUCGUAUUGCAAGACUCUCGGCAUGAUGCGAUGUGAUCCAUUAACAUUACACUCCGCCAACAUUCGUUGAAUUUCUAUUAUUUUUCCAUUCGUUCUUAUUCCUAGGCAACUAAGAUCAUUGAAAACAGGCGUUGGUUCUACCUUGUUGUGUGUGUGUGUCGUGUGCUGCCACCACCUUCAAAUUCUAUACGCAUCGUCUGUAGAUGGGCCGUCCGUGUUCCGGCCCACAGACGACUCUCGCUCCCCCAUCAUCGUACACAAGUGUGUAGUACUAUCUGCCCCGUUGGCUUUCUUUGUCAAUCGUUCGCUAGACUCGGACGAGUCAAGAUCUCUCUCGGUUUAUUGCACCGUUUCUCUUAAAUCACGUCGCUUGUAAUUCCGAAGAUUUUGGCUCAUUUGUUUUUCAAUCUGUUUAAGCACCAUCAGUCGUUUCAGUGUCGUUUCAAACUGUUCAUUCUCUCGCUCGGCUAUACUGUUUUUAAAACAUCCAUCAUGACAACCGUUUACUUGACUACCGACACAGUGCAGGUGAUUGGACGUCACGCGUUAAGUCAUUUGAAUGAUCUUGAAAUAGUUUUGCUGAUUAUGUGUUUACGUCAAAAUCGGAAGGUGACACAAAGGGUUUUUUUUUUUUCUUUUUGACGUCAAUUCAGUUGUCGCCCUUUUGACAUCGACAUGCCACUGUGACUUGUCGCCAAGGGGCUUCACGUUCAUCUUUAAAACAAAAGGGAGAACGAAAGGCACAAAACUAUUUUUUGUUUUAAAUAGCCGUGCGUUUCUCGUGAAAAUUCCAUUCGUAUUUUUCUUUGUGAAUAGUGUGCCAAUAGCAGUAAUGCAAUUUUCUUUUUUCAUUU